rnacentral:rRNA from 2 species
UAGGGAAUCUUCCACAAUGGGCGCAAGCCUGAUGGAGCAACGCCGCGUGAGUGAAGAAGGGUUUCGGCUCGUAAAACUCUGUUGUUAAAGAAGAACGUAUCUGAGAGUAACUGUUCAGAUAGUGACGGUAUUUAACCAGAAAGCCACGGCUAACUACGUGCCAGCAGCCGCGGUAAUACGUAGGUGGCAAGCGUUAUCCGGAUUUAUUGGGCGUAAAGGGAGUGCAGGCGGUUAUUUAAGUCUGAUGUGAAAGCCUUCGGCUUAACCGGAGAAGGGCAUCGGAAACUGGAUAACUUGAGUGCAGAAGAGGGUAGUGGAACUCCAUGUGUAGCGGUGGAAUGCGUAGAUAUAUGGAAGAACACCAGUGGCGAAGGCGGCUACCUAGUCUGUAACUGACGCUGAGGCUCGAAAGCAUGGGUAGCAAACAGGAUUAGAUACCCUGGUAGUCCAUGCCGUAAACGAUGAAUACUAGGUGUUAAGGGGGGGUUCCGCCCCUUAGUGCCGCAGCUAACGCAAUAAGUAUUCCGCCUGGGGAGUACGACCGCAAGGUUGAAACUCAAAGGAAUUGACGGGGACCCGCACAAGCGGUGGAGCAUGUGGUUUAAUUCGAAGCUACGCGAAGAACCUUACCAGGGCUUGACAUCUUCUGCUAAUCCGAGAGAUCGGACGUUCCCUUCGGGGACGGAAAGACAGGUGGUGCAUGGUUGUCGUCAGCUCGUGUCGUGAGAUGUUGGGUUAAGUCCCGCAACGAGCGCAACCCUUAUGAUUAGUUGCCAGCAUUAAGUUGGGCACUCUAAUGAGACUGCCGGUGACAAACCGGAGGAAGGUGGGGACGACGUCAAAUCAUCAUGCCCCUUAUGUCCUGGGCUACACACGUGCUACAAUGGAUGGUACAACGAGCAGCGAAGUCGCGAGGCCAAGCAAAUCUCUUAAAGCCAUUCUCAGUUCGGACUGUAGGCUGCAACUCGCCUACACGAAGUCGGAAUCGCUAGUAAUCGCGGAUCAGCAUGCCGCGGUGAAUACGUUCCCGGGUCUUGUACACACCGCCCGUCACACCAUGAGAGUUUGUAACACCCAAAGUCGGUGGGGUAACCUUCGGGAGCCAACCGCCUAAGGUGGACAGAUGAU